rnacentral:rRNA from 1 species
UACGGGGGGGGCAAGCGUUGUUCGGAAUUACUGGGCGUAAAGGGCUCGUAGGCGGCCAACUAAGUCAGACGUGAAAUCCCCAGGCUCAACCUGGGAAUGGCAUUUGGGACUGCAAGGCUGGAGUGUGGCAGAGGAGACUGGAAUUCCCGGUGUAGCAGUGAAAUGCGUAGAGAUGUGGAGGAACACCGAUGGCGAAGGCAGCCCCCUGGGUCAAGACUGACGCUCAUGCACGAAAGCGUGGGGAGCAAACAGG